UUUACUUUUAAGGGCCGUCAAAGACUAUGACGUUGAUAGGCUAUAGGUGUAAAGCUGGUAACAGCAAAGCCAAGUAGUACUAAUUGCCCGUACGCUUUAAUUUU
rnacentral:rRNA from 1 species